rnacentral:rRNA from 1 species
UCGAGAAUCUUCCGCAAUGGGCGAAAGCCUGACGGAGCGACGCCGCGUGCAGGAUGAAGGCCCUCGGGUUGUAAACUGCUGUCACGGGUUAUGAAAUCGGUGAGGUUAAUAACCGAUCCGUUGACGUAAGCCCGAAAGGAAGCACCGGCUAACUCUGUGCCAGCAGCCGCGGUAAUACAGAGGGUGCAAACGUUGUUCGGAAUCACUGGGCAUAAAGCGCACGUAGGCGGCGACGUAAGUGUGAAGUGAAAGCCCACGGCUCACCCGUGGAACUGCUUUGCAAACUGCGUUGCUCGAGGACGGUAGAGGAGAGCGGAACUCUUGGUGGAGCGGUGAAAUGCGUAGAUAUCAAGAGGAACACCGGUGGCGAAGGCGGCUCUCUGGUCCGUUUCUGACGCUGAGGUGCGAAAGCCAGGGUAGCGAACGGGAUUAGAUACCCCCGUAGUCC